GUAGUCAUAUGCUUGUCUCAAAGAUUAAGCCAUGCAUGUCUAAGUAUAAGCAAUUAUACAGCGAAACUGCGAAUGGCUCAUUAAAUCAGUUAUCGUCUAUUUGAUAGUACCUUACUACCUGGAUAACCGUGAUAAUUCUAGAGCUAAUACAUGCUAAAAACCCCGACUCACGAAGGGGUGUAUUUAUUAGAUUAAAAGCCAAUGCCCUCCGGGGCUCACUGGUGAUUCAUAAUAACUUGUCGAAUCGCAUGGCCUUGCGCCGGCGAUGGUUCAUUCAAAUUUCUGCCCUAUCAACUUUCGACGGCUGGGUCUUGGCCAGCCAUGGUGACAACGGGUAACGGAGGGUUAGGGUUCGACCCCGGAGAACGAGCCUGAGAAGCGGCUAUUACAUCCAAGGAAGGCAGCAGGCGCGCAAAUUACCCAAUACCGACUCGGUGAGGUAGUGACGAUAAAUACUGAUACAGGGCUCUCUUGGGUCUUGUAAUUGGAAUGAGUAUAAUUUAAAUCCCUUAACGAGGAACAAUUGGGGGGCAAGUCUGGUGCCAGCAGCC
rnacentral:rRNA from 1 species